GGAGGGUGCGAGCGUUAAUYGGAAUUACUGGGSGUAAAGGGUGCGUAGGKUGUAUUAUAARUUAUSUGURAAAUCCCUGGGCUCAACCUGGGCAGGUCASAUAAUACUGUAGUACUCGAGUAUGGGAGAGGGUAGUGGAAUUUCCGGUGUAGCGGGUGAAAUGCGUAGAKAUCGGAAGGAACACCAGUGGCGAARGCGGCUACCUGGCCUAAUACUGACACUGAGGCACGAAAGCGUGGGGAGCAAACAGGAUUAGAUACCCUGGUAGUCCACGCUGUAAACGAUGUCAACUAGCUGUUGGUUAUAUGAAUAUAAUUAGUGGCGCAGCAAACGCGAUAAGUUGACCGCCUGGGGAGUACGGUCGCAAGAUUA
rnacentral:rRNA from 1 species